rnacentral:rRNA from 1 species
UACGUAGGGGGCAAGCGUUACUCGGAUUUAUUGGGCGUAAAGAGAAUUAAGGCGGUCAUGUAAGUCAGUGGUGAAAUCCCCCGGCUCAACUGGGGAAUUGCCUUUGAUACUGCGUGACUUGAGGACAGGAGAGGAAGGCGGAAUUCCCGGUGUAGCGGUGGAAUGCGUAGAUAUCGGGAGGAACACCUGAGGCGAAGGCGGCUUUCUGGACUGGUCCUGACGCUGAUAUUCGAAAGCUAGGGGAGCAAACAGGAUUAGAAACCCUCGUAGUCC